rnacentral:siRNA from 1 species
UAGAACUGGUCGAUGGUUGCUUGA